rnacentral:rRNA from 1 species
UGGGGAAUAUUGCACAAUGGGCGCAAGCCUGAUGCAGCCAUGCCGCGUGUGUGAAGAAGGCCUUCGGGUUGUAAAGCACUUUCAGCGAGGAGGAAGGUGGUGAGCUUAAUACGCUCAUCAAUUGACGUUACUCGCAGAAGAAGCACCGGCUAACUCCGUGCCAGCAGCCGCGGUAAUACGGAGGGUGCAAGCGUUAAUCGGAAUUACUGGGCGUAAAGCGCACGCAGGCGGUUUGUUAAGUCAGAUGUGAAAUCCCCGGGCUCAACCUGGGAACUGCAUUUGAAACUGGCAAGCUAGAGUCUCGUAGAGGGGGGUAGAAUUCCAGGUGUAGCGGUGAAAUGCGUAGAGAUCUGGAGGAAUACCGGUGGCGAAGGCGGCCCCCUGGACGAAGACUGACGCUCAGGUGCGAAAGCGUGGGGCAGCAAACAGGAUUAGAUACCCUGGUAGUCCACGCUGUAAACGAUGUCGAUUUUGGAGGUUGUGCCCUUGAGGCGUGGCUUCCGGAGCUAACGCGUUAAAUCGACCGCCUGGGGAGUACGGCCGCAAGGUUAAAACUUAAAUGAAUUGAC